UGCAAAAACGGGAUUGAAUAAUUUGAAA
rnacentral:piRNA from 1 species